AACCCUUGUGGAGGAGGACGCCGAAGGUGGGGCUAAUGACUGGGGUGAAGUCGUAACAAGGUAGCCGUACCGGAAGGUGCGGCUGGAUCACCUCCUAACAGGGAGACAACAAAAUGUUAAAUAUUAAUUUUGUCACCUUAGGUCGAUCGGUAUCUCACAUUCUUAAUUUAUUUAAGGAUUUCAUUUCCUAAGUUUUUUCUAGGUCACACCCAUUACUUUUCCCUGGGCCAUUAGCUCAGGUGGUUAGAGCGCACCCCUGAUAAGGGUGAGGUCCCUGGUUCAAGUCCAGGAUGGCCCAUAUCUCUAUGUUGGGGGUAUAGCUCAGUUGGUAGAGCGCCUGCUUUGCAAGCAGGAUGUCAGCGGUUCGAGUCCGCUUACCUCCACUGAUCACCACCUCUUCCAUAAUUUAUAGAAGGGAAAUGUUUGGAGUUGUGAUCAAAUUCUGAACGAAUCUAGCUUCCUAAUCAAACUUAUUAAGAUGCUGGACUCAUUGAAUUAAUUUCAUUGUUUUCAGAGAACCUUGACAACUGCAUAGAUUAUUUUUAAAGACAAUAAGCAUCUUUAAUGAUGCAGAUUUAUUAUUUGUGCGAAUGCAUUAAUAACAAUUCUAUUAAGCUGAUGCUUCAAUUUUUGAAGUUAUUGGUCAAGCUACAAAGGGCUCACGGAGGAUACCUAGGCACACA
rnacentral:misc_RNA from 1 species